UGGGGAAUAUUGGACAAUGGGCGAAAGCCUGAUCCAGCCAUGCCGCGUGUGUGAAGAAGGUCUUCGGAUUGUAAAGCACUUUAAGUUGGGAGGAAGGGCAGUAAAUUAAUACUUUGCUGUUUUGACGUUACCGACAGAAUAAGCACCGGCUAACUCUGUGCCAGCAGCCGCGGUAAUACAGAGGGUGCAAGCGUUAAUCGGAAUUACUGGGCGUAAAGCGCGCGUAGGUGGUUCGUUAAGUUGGAUGUGAAAUCCCCGGGCUCAACCUGGGAACUGCAUUCAAAACUGACGAGCUAGAGUAUGGUAGAGGGUGGUGGAAUUUCCUGUGUAGCGGUGAAAUGCGUAGAUAUAGGAAGGAACACCAGUGGCGAAGGCGACCACCUGGACUGAUACUGACACUGAGGUGCGAAAGCGUGGGGAGCAAACAGGAUUAGAUACCCGGGUAGUCC
rnacentral:rRNA from 1 species